rnacentral:tRNA from 1 species
CGGAAUGUUAAGUUAUCUAGACUGUGGUACUUCAAAUACCAAAGAAAGUGCUGCAAUACUUACAUUUCGUC